UGACCGGGGUGGCAGCCAGCUGCAAGUGCCUAAGAACUUGGCACUGCCCCCUUCCAUCUAAAGGGGCACAUCUCCCUUCUGGGUGGCACACAUUCAGUCAAAGGUACAAAACAUCUCUAUCAUCAAGAUGUCUGAUGACAUUGACUGGUUACACAGCCGCAGGGGCGUGUGCAAGGUAGAUCUUUACAGCCCAAAAGGACAACAAGAUCAGGACCGAAAAGUGAUAUGCUUUGUGGAUGUGUCCACCUUGAAUGUGGAAGAUGAUUCCAAGGGUGCUGCUGGUCCCAGGUCAGAGGGCGAAUUAAACCUGGAGAAUC
rnacentral:lncRNA from 1 species